rnacentral:rRNA from 1 species
GGUGAACGCUGGCGGUAGGCCUAACACAUGCAAGUCGAACGGCAGCACAGUAAGAGCUUGCUCUUACGGGUGGCGAGUGGCGGACGGGUGAGGAAUACAUCGGAAUCUACUUUUUCGUGGGGGAUAACGUAGGGAAACUUACGCUAAUACCGCAUACGACCUACGGGUGAAAGCAGGGGAUCUUCGGACCUUGCGCGAUUGAAUGAGCCGAUGUCGGAUUAGCUAGUUGGCGGGGUAAAGGCCCACCAAGGCGACGAUCCGUAGCUGGUCUGAGAGGAUGAUCAGCCACACUGGAACUGAGACACGGUCCAGACUCCUACGGGAGGCAGCAGUGGGGAAUAUUGGACAAUGGGCGCAAGCCUGAUCCAGUCAUACCGCGUGGGUGAAGAAGGCCUUCGGGUUGUAAAGCCCUUUUGUUGGGAAAGAAAAGCAGCAGGUUAAUACCCCGCUGUUCUGACGGUACCCAAAGAAUAAGCACCGGCUAACUUCGUG